AUUGAACGCUGGCGGCAGGCCUAACACAUGCAAGUCGAACGAGUGGCGGACGGGUGCGUAAUGGCUGGGAAACUGCACGAUGGAGGGGGAUAACUACUGGAACCGGUAGCUAAUAGCGCAUACCAUCGGAUGUGCCCAGUGGGGUUGAGCUAGGAGGUGGGGUAAUGGAGCACCUAGGCUGCGAUCCCUAGCUGGUUUGAGAGGAUGGCCGGCCCUACUGGACCGGAGGCACGGUCCAGACUCCUACGGGAGGCAGCAGUGGGGAAUAUUGCACAAGGGGCGCAAGCCUGAUGCAGCCAUGCCGCGUGUAUGAAGAAGGCUUUCGGGUUGUAAAGUACUUUCAGCGAGGAGGCGUUACUUGCAGAAGAAGCGACGGCUAACUCCGUGCCAGCAGCCGCGGUAAUUC
rnacentral:rRNA from 1 species